GAGGACUUCCUCCUCCAGAUUCCAGCUUUGCCGAUCACCUCUGCACCAGUCAUCUGGAUGCACAAUUGGCAGAGAUAAGAGGAGCCUCCAAUGAUCUGGGAGGAGGCAGGCAUGCGGCUCUCCCUCUCACUUCCUAGAUUUUAGGAAGACAUAUGAGGAACAAAGAAGAAAAGGAAGUCUGGAGGAGAGGAGAGUGAAUGAACAGAAACUGAAAGGAACCAUAAGGAACUGGAGUAUUGCCACUUCUGGAAAUCUCUGCACGGCUGCUAUGAUUAUUUCUCUUUCUUCUCCUGCUAGUUAUGUUGUGACACAUAUCGAUAUUAAAAUGAAUGCUCUAAGCUCAGGAAUUCCUUGGCCUAGAUUUGGCAGUAACGUUAACCUGUCUAUCUUGGUCUAUUGUUUUUGUUUAAAGGUUAUUUCUCUUAAGCAUGACUGUAUAUUGUACUGUA